rfam:Triticum aestivum genome assembly, contig: Triticum_aestivum_CS42_TGACv1_scaffold_485172_6AS
UUAUUACUCCCUCCGUUUGGAAUUACUUGUCGCAGAAAUGGAUGUAUCUAGACAUAUUUUAGUUCUAGAUACAUUUAUUUCCGAGACAAGUAAUUCCGAACGGAGGGAGUAGGUU